ACACACCGCCGCAGCCAUGGGAGUCGGGAGGACCUGAAGGCAGUUGCUGUGAGGCGCUGUUUAGGGUAAAACCGAUGACUAGGGCU
rnacentral:rRNA from 1 species